rnacentral:lncRNA from 1 species
GAGCCUGCAUUUCAAAUCUAGGGGACUUGAGACUGGGGCAAACCUGGAGAUUGCUGGGGACUGCUGGGGACUACUGGGGACUGUUGGGUGGCAGACCUGGGGAUUGCUGGAGACUGUGUGGUGGCUGACCUAGGAAUUACUGAGACCUAAGGUUUACAGGGGGCUGUGGGUUGGCAGACCUGGGGGUGGAUGGAUAUUAUUUAUUCCUAGUGAGAUGGCAGUCUGUAGCCUCGGAGUCCAGCAGCACACAAGUCAGGUCUCAAGCUCUCCUUAAUAGGGGUCUCAGGCAAGCUGUGAGGGCCCCUCUGCUUUCCAGUGUUCUUAGGAAGCCUCUGGUACCCCCUGUGCAGCACUGGGCCCAGGUUCGCUGACCACUGACCAUAUCACAACUCUUGGGAGUUCUCAGGAGCCUGCUUUGUCCAGUGAGGUAGGAACUAAAAGCUCCAGUUGCUCUCCAGCUGUUCACAUUUGAGGAAGCCUCGGUUAGUUCCCUUUCUCCUUCCUUCUGGCCUCCCUGUCUGUUCUUCUUUCCCUGCAGGAGAGAUUCACAGAGAGCCAGCAGAUCCUCACAGGCUCGCAGACAUUGGCCCUUUCCCGUUGCCCCAGCAGCUAAGUCAGGGGCUACUCAGCUUCCCCUGGGGCUCAGCUCCUCACCCCGAUCCUGUCCCCACUUCAGCUCUUGUUUUUUUGGCUUUUAUUUGUAUGAAUUCCUUGGGAACUUCACAUGUAUUUCGAUCACAAUCCCUCCUCUACCCCUCUCCUCCCAGAACCACCCCCAUCCUAUUCCAGCUCACCGACUCCGUGUCCUUAUUCAUUUCUGCUAAACUUUUUGUUUUCGAGCUUUCUUUUUAAUUAUGUAUAUGUGCCCAGGGAGGCUAGAGAACUCAGAUCUCCCUGUGGCAGUCGUGAGUUGCCCAUCACUAUAGGUGCUGGGAGUCGAACUUGUGUCCUCUGCAAGAGCAGUGUGUGCUCUUAGCCACCGAGCCAUUUCUUCAGCCCCCUGGCUUUGUUUUUGUUUGUUUUGUUGUUGAGAUAGGUCCCACACAUCCUGGGCUGGACUUUAAAUAGCUAUGGGGUUAAAAAGACCUUGAGCCUUUCAUCCUCCUGCCUCCACUGCCCAAGUCUGGGAUGCUCCACCGUUUAUGAGGGGCUGGGGAUGGAACUCAGGCUAGUCUAACAUUUUGCCAUCUGAGCUGUAUCCCCAGGGCAUUCAAGCUCUUCCUCGUGUUCCUGUCUGGAAUCUGGCUGAGAAUCUCCUACUGUUGCUGUCAACCAAUCUCAUCCGUGUCUGUUUCCCACACAACUCCACCUUCAGCUGGGGCCUGAGGGUACCCUGUGCCCACCACUCCCUUCCCAUCCAUCUUAUUCAUCUCACCAUCCGGCCAUCUACCCAUGUGCCAGAGAGGACCCCGAGUCGUAGCAUCACAGACUUAGCACUCUCGGAGGCUCCUCUCUUCUGUCUGAUGGACGGCUGCACACACCGAGGGCACUGAGCUCGCCUGAGCUUGCAGGACAUCCCAUUUCAGGGUGAGGAGGCAGCAAGCCUGCUCUAUGGACCUGAAGGCCACAGACUGUACCUCAUCCAUCUGUGCAUGUGUGUGCAAGUGUGUGUGGGUAUGUAUGUGUGGGUAUGUAUGUGUGCAAGUGUGUGUGGGCAUGUAUGUGUGCACAAGUGUGUGUGCAUGUAUGUGUGGGCAUGUAUGUAUGCACAUGUGUGUGUGCAAGUGUGUGUGGGCAUGUAUGUGUGUGCAUGUGUGUGUGUGUGUACAGUCUAUAUAGCAUAAAUGAAGUCCAGAAUAGAGCACUGAUCCCUGGCUCUGGAGCUAUAUGUGGGUGUGAGCCAUCUGACGUGGGUGCUGGGACCCACACUGACCUCUAGA